AUAACCUACCAAAUCAACUUCAUAGAAAUCACUCUUCCAUCUUCUCCAUUCACAGACUGCGGACGAACUAGGGUUCGAUUGUUGGUUCUGUGGGAAUGAUUUGAAUGAGCAAAUUAAUAUUACGCAACACAUCCACAAUCUUCCAGUCACGGCGCAUAGAGAAGGCAACGAAUCUAGGAUUUUGGAGAGACGUAAUGGCGAAGACGAAGAGUGGUGCUGGAGGUCUACGAUAUUCAAAGGCGGCGAAUGAGUUGGGCGAAGAAAUCCUCUGUCAUUGAACCGUGCUCUCUCGUGAAUACUGUUCUGUUGUGAAAUCGUGCGAUAUUGCAAGGUUGUGGAGUGAGUUGCACUACUUCGUGUGAUCUAAAAUGGCGAGGAUUAAAUCAUGAAAUAUUGAAUAUUGGAGUUCGUUAGAUUAGCUUUUUUUCUUCUCAGUUUCAGUUUAUAAUGGAACACCCAUUUUUG